rnacentral:rRNA from 1 species
GACGAACGCUGGCGGUAUGCUUAACACAUGCAAGUCGAACGAGAAGCUUUUUAAUGAUCCUUCGGGUGAACUAAGAGGUGGAAAGUGGCGAACGGGUGAGUAACGCGUGGGUAACCUGCCUCAUGGAAAGGAAUAGCCUCGGGAAACUGGGAGUAAAGCCUUAUAUUAUUGAGUUGUCGCAUGGCAAUUCGAUGAAAACUCCGGUGCCAUGAGAUGGACCCGCGUCCCAUUAGCUAGUUGGUGAGAUAACAGCCCACCAAGGCAACGAUGGGUAACCGGUCUGAGAGGGCGAACGGUCACACUGGAACUGAGACACGGUCCAGACUCCUACGGGAGGCAGCAGUGGGGAAUAUUGCGCAAUGGGGGAAACCCUGACGCAGCAAUACCGCGUGAGUGAAGAAGGUUUUCGGAUCGUAAAACUCUUUUAUUGGGGAAGAAGAAGUGACGGUACCCAAUGAAGAAGUCCCGGCUAACUACGUGCCAGCAGCCGCCGUAA